rnacentral:rRNA from 1 species
CCGCCUGGGGAGUACGGCCGCAAGGUUAAAACUCAAAGGAAUUGACGGGGACCCGCACAAGCGGUGGAUGAUGUGGAUUAAUUCGAUGCAACGCGAAAAACCUUACCUACCCUUGACAUGGCAGGAACUUUCCAGAGAUGGAUUGGUGCUCGAAAGAGAACCUGCACACAGGUGCUGCAUGGCUGUCGUCAGCUCGUGUCGUGAGAUGUUGGGUUAAGUCCCGCAACGAGCGCAACCCUUGUCAUUAGUUGCUACGAAAGGGCACUCUAAUGAGACUGCCGGUGACAAACCGGAGGAAGGUGGGGAUGACGUCAAGUCCUCAUGGCCCUUAUGGGUAGGGCUUCACACGUCAUACAAUGGUCGGUACAGAGGGUUGCCAAGCCGCGAGGUGGAGCCAAUCCCAGAAAACCGAUCGUAGUCCGGAUCGCAGUCUGCAACUCGACUGCGUGAAGUCGGAAUCGCUAGUAAUCGCGGAUCAGAAUGCCACGGUGAAUACGUUCCCGGGCCUUGUACACAC